GUCAGGACAAAGUAUUAAAGACAUGAAUCUUAGGGACACAUCAGCACAUACCAGAUGAAGAUGUCCCACAUGAUGUGACCACUGACACCCAGGGCUUGGGGAGAAAGACGGUGGUUUAUGCAAAUGGAGUUUACUACAUGGCUCUCAAGUGUUUAUGAAUUCAUGAAUGGAUAACUUCUCACUGGGCUUUGAAAAAACCAGCAAACAAUGCCAGGUUGAAUCUCUGUGUGUGAUUUUCCUCAAGAUGGUUUUAUAUUAUGCAGACCUGGGUAAGUGAGCCCUGACUCUUCCUCUUUCUUGUACCUGGUGUGCUUUCCAUUUGUACCUAUGCUAGGCAGUACAAGUACAAGAUUACCCAAGCAGCAGCACGGCUUUUCUUCAUUCAGC
rnacentral:lncRNA from 1 species